CCAACCGGGAUUGCCUUAGUAACGGCGAGUGAAGCGGCAAAAGCUCAAAUUUGAAAUCUGGUACCUUCGGUGCCCGAGUUGUAAUUUGGAGAGGGCAACUUUGGGGCCGUUCCUUGUCUAUGUUCCUUGGAACAGGACGUCAUAGAGGGUGAGAAUCCCGUGUGGCGAGGAGUGCGGUUCUUUGUAAAGUGCCUUCGAAGAGUCGAGUUGUUUGGGAAUGCAGCUCUAAGUGGGUGGUAAAUUCCAUCUAAAGCUAAAUAUUGGCGAGAGACCGAUAGCGAACAAGUACAGUGAUGGAAAGAUGAAAAGAACUUUGAAAAGAGAGUGAAAAAGUACGUGAAAUUGUUGAAAGGGAAGGGCAUUUGAUCAGACAUGGUGUUUUGUGCCCUCUGCUCCUUGUGGGUAGGGGAAUCUCGCAUUUCACUGGGCCAGCAUCAGUUUUGGUGGCAGGAUAAAUCCAUAGGAAUGUAGCUUGCCUCGGUAAGUAUUAUAGCCUGUGGGAAUACUGCCAGCUGGGACUGAGGACUGCGACGUAAGUCAAGGAUGCUGGCAUAAUGGUUAUAUGCCGCCCGUCUUGAAACACGGACCUCCUGUGUGAGGGAUCCCCCCUAAA
rnacentral:rRNA from 1 species